rnacentral:rRNA from 1 species
GACGAAUGCUGGCGGCGUGCUUAACACAUGCAAGUCGAACGGUGAAGCUCCAGCUUGCUGGAGGGGAUCAGUGGCGAACGGGUGAGUAACACGUGAGCAACCUGCCCCUGACUCUGGAAUAAGCGCUGGAAACGGCGUCUAAUACUGGAUACGAGAAGGGUCCGCAUGGGCACUUUCUGGAAAGUUCUUCGGUUGGGGAUGGGCUCGCGGCCUAUCAGCUUGUUGGUGAGGUAAUGGCUCACCAAGGCGACGACGGGUAGCCGGCCUGAGAGGGCGACCGGCCACACUGGGACUGAGACACGGCCCAGACUCCUACGGGAGGCAGCAGUGGGGAAUAUUGCACAAUGGGCGAAAGCCUGAUGCAGCGACGCCGCGUGAGGGAUGACGGCCUUCGGGUUGUAAACCUCUUUCAGCGGGGAAGAAGCGAAAGUGACGGUACCUGCAGAAGAAGCACCGGCUAACUACGUG